AACGCUGGCGGCAGGCCUAACACAUGCAAGUCGAACGGAAACAUGUCUAGCUUGCUAGAUGAUGUCGAGUGGCGGACGGGUGAGUAAUGCUUGGGAACUUGCCUUUGCGAGGGGGAUAACAGUUGGAAACGACUGCUAAUACCGCAUAAUGUCUUCGGACCAAACGGGGCUUCGGCUCCGGCGCAAAGAGAGGCCCAAGUGAGAUUAGCUAGUUGGUGAGGUAAAGGCUCACCAAGGCAACGAUCUCUAGCUGUNCUGAGAGGAAGAUCAGCCACACUGGGACUGAGACACGGCCCAG
rnacentral:rRNA from 1 species